rnacentral:rRNA from 1 species
CAGCCGCCACGGGAAUACGAAGGGUGCAAGCGUUAAUCGGAAUUACUGGGCGUAAAGCGCGCGUAGGUGGUUUGGUAAGAUGGAUGUGAAAUCCCCGGGCUCAACCUGGGAACUGCAUCCAUAACUGCCUGACUAGAGUACGGUAGAGGGUGGUGGAAUUUCCUGUGUAGCGGUGAAAUGCGUAGAUAUAGGAAGGAACACCAGUGGCGAAGGCGACCACCUGGACUGAUACUGACACUGAGGUGCGAAAGCGUGGGGAGCAAACAGGAUUAGAUACCCCUGUAGUCCCUGUCUCUUAUAC